rnacentral:lncRNA from 1 species
UGCGGUUGAGGGGCUGACUCAGAGGGAGUGACAUGGGGUUUUUCCCCCCGUUUUGCCCCGAGUACUCCAUUUGGUGUCUUAGUCAUAAAGGGAAAUUCAAAAGCCAGCGAGGUGCUGGGGGGGCAGGAACAGAUGUCCUGGAGCCCCCUCCCCGAAUGUCCCAGCCUUCCCCUCCCCCACCCCCGUGCUGCGGGAAGUCCCAGCAUCCCUUCCCAUCAGGGACCUGUCUGUGUCCUGGGCGUGUGACUUUGCUUUGCUUCUUGGUGCAGAUGCCCUGAGGGCCCCCUUCCCGGGGAGGGAAGGUGCUGGGUGUAGCAGGAGGAGGGGUGGUGGGUACACAGGAGCCCCUUCAAGCCGGCGUGGUGACUUGCCACACUCCUAGACAGGUGACACGGUGCCCACUGCUUCUGACAUUCACUAGUGUUUGCAGAGAUUUUUUUCUUCUUUUCUUUUUUGCUGCACCCAUGGCACAUGGAAGCUCCCUGGCCAGGGGCUGAAUCUGAGCCUCAUCUGUGACUUAUGCUACAGCCCUAGACAGGCCACUGUGUCAGGCCGGGAUUUGAACGGCUGUGGCCACAGAGACAAGCUGGAUCAUUAACAGCUGUGCCACAGCAGGAACACAGGGCCAGGAUUCCUUUUUUUUUUUUUUUUUUUCCUUUUUAGGGCAGAACUGGCAGCAUAUGAAAGUUUCCAGGCUAGGGGUCUAACUGGAGCUGUCGCCGACAGCCUACACCACCGCCACGCCAGAUCCAAGCCACAUCUGAGACCUACACCACAGGUCAUGGCAAUGCUGGAUCCUUAACCCACUGAGCAAGGCCAGGAACCGAACCUGCAUCCUCAUGGAUACUAGUCGGGUUCAUUACCACUGAGCCACAUUGGGAACUCCGGGCCUAGUAUUCUUUUCACCACUUCAGUGAUGAGGAAGCCUGAGUGGUCAAGUGCCCCCUCUGAGGUGACAGUGCUCUGCAGCACUCGGGCAGGGCGGGCUGUUCCCACUCGUGCUUGCUGUCCCUUCUGUUCGAGUGCAAACUGCCUCUGUCUGAGAGCUGGUGAGAGCCAAGAGGCUUGAGUUUCUGAGGACCGAAGCUCUUGGUCAUUCAUCAGAAAGUGUCCAUGCCGUGUCCCGCCCUCAGAGUGCAGGAUUCAGAGGGAGCCAGGGGGACCUUGGCCUUGAGGGAGACGGAGAAGCACACAUGCACCUCCCAGGCUUUGUGGGGUGCCCUGAUGGGGUCAGGUCACUGCGCUGCUGGGGGGUCCUGUGCACAGACGGUCACGUGGGCGGGGGGUGUUGAGGCCGAGGCCUGAGGGUGACUCUCUCACAAAAUAAAGGGCAGAGAGUGGCCACCAGCAGGAAGGUGGGUGGACGUGGGAGUUUCGCCUCAAUACCUUUGGCGCCGAAAGGAUGGUGGUCAGUACAUUCGAGGCUUAAUGCGGAGAAUCCUGACAACUUAGGCUCAGUAAUUGCUAGGUCCUCCUGCCGGAUCGGCCCCUUUGAUCCUUACGAAGCGUUCCUCUGGGCCGCUGCCGAUACGGUUUGUUCUGAAACGUGCUUUGCUAGUGGUGUGGCGACUCCCUUUCCUGUUGCGCAGCGUUUGCAGGCUGCGUGUCUCCCGUCCUCUUGUGUUUAAGGAUCCAGGUCUUCAUAUUUAACCUGCAGUUCUCAUUCUUGGCCUUGUUCUUUUUAUCCAGCGUGAUCUGUCUUCUAAGUAGUGUUUAGACCAGUUAGCACUUAGUGUAACCGUGCACCUCCAAGGCCGCUGUGCCCCUCGGGGAGGGUUUUCUUCCAGUCUCUUCGGGGCCAGGGUCUGGAUCGGGUCUGGCCUGCUGGCUUUAAAGAUUUCCCCAGUAGUGGGCCCCAGAGCCUGCGACCUUGGGUCUGGAACCUGGGGAGCUUGGAGGUUUGGGAGGAGAACUGGCUCCGUCGUCUCCAGCCCUCACACCCGCGUCUCGCUGUUAGAAACUCCUCUCCACUCCCUCCUGCUCCGGUCCCAGAAAGCCCGCUUACGAGGCUCGUGCUUACGAGGGUGACAGCUGACCCGUGUACCCAGCGGCUUGCCUGUGGGAUGCUCGCUCCGCACCAGCCUCGUGAAGCCCUGGGGGCGGGGAACGCACAGCACCAGAAGCAUCUCUUGGCGAACAGAAUUGCUCAGGCUUUCCCUCCAGCGUCACGACCAGACCGGGUUUGACACGUUCCGGAGGAGAAGGGUUGGCCCCGGGCCUGCGAGGGUGGACGUCCAGCCCUGUACCUGCUCAUCCAAAGGCAAGGCCAUUCUCCAGGUAAACACCCAAAUGGCCUGUGGAUGCCUCUGGUCACUGCUCAGCAACCCCGCGGCUCAAACACUAAUUCUCAGCCCCUGGGGGACCCUGUGGUGAGUGCGUCGGGAGACACGAGAGGCCCGGCUUCCUGGCCUUGCGUUAGAGCCGAAGGCGCAGGCUUCUGAGGCCCAGGGGCACCUGGCAGGUGAUGGGUCCUCAGGAUGUGACAGUGCGCGACCUAGAGACCCGGGCCCUGAGGACCAGAGGGAGUCACCGGCUUCCCAGGGCUGGACGCCGCGGGGGAAGAGGAGCAGCCGAUGGGCCACCAUCAGGAGCGCUGGGCACGUCCGCCUGUGUCUCCCCAGGGGUGGCCUCUCGGUGAUGAGCCUGUGUCUUCUGGACCCUCUCAGUGGCACUAAGCCUCACGGCACCCCCCCAGCCGCCACCCGCUGCAUUAUUCGGGCCUCCCCUGGACCCUCAGACCGUGUUCCUCCAGCCUGGGAUGUCCUCCGAGGCCCUCACCUGACCCCUUCAAUCUCCGCUCGCACCGCUUCCUCCAUGCAGCCUUCCUGGAUUGCCGGGGGCAGAACUGAGUGAUAUUCUCGCUCCUCCCCCCGACCCUUACACACUCCUGUAACAGUCGCUGCGUUCAUCUCCGCUCUGCCAGCAGCCCCUGGAAGGUGGAGGUGGGAUUCUGUAAUCUCUGCGUUACCAGGGCCUAAACCGGAGAGCAAGCGAGUCAAAAAGCCUCUG